CGAAAGGGUGCUAAUACCGGGUGUCGUCUUCGAAGUUUCGGCUUUGAAGAUGAAAGAUGGCUGAGGCUUGCAAGCUAUUGCUCCAAGAUGAGCCCGCGUACCAUUAGCUAGUUGGUGGGGUAAUGGCCCACCAAGGCAAUGAUGGUUAGCUGGUCUGAGAGGAUGGCCAGCCACACUGGAACUGAGAUACGGUCCAGACUCCUACGGGAGGCAGCAGUGAGGAAUCUUGCGCAAUGGGGGCAACCCUGACGCAGCAACGCCGCGUGAGUGAUGAAGGCCUUCGGGUCGUAAAGCUCUGUCAGGCGGAAAGAAAGUUUUCAGGGUGAACAAUCCUGGAGAUUGACGGUACCGCCAGAGGAAGCACCGGCUAACUCCGUGCCAGCAGCCGCGGUAA
rnacentral:rRNA from 1 species